ensembl:lncRNA
AAGAUGGUCUGUCUCUUUCGGAUGAGACCUGGGGGAAAGCAGACGGAUGGACAGAGAAGGGAACAGGAGGAUGCUCUGAUGAGCAGGUUUGCAGAGGCCCAGUUGUGUGCUCAGGGCUGUCCUACUGACAGCCCAGCAUCUUAAUAAAGAGGAGGGAAGAUGAAAAGCAACACUGCAUCUGAAACGGGCUAGAAAAACUAAGUCUGAGAAUGUCCCAGCGCAGAAGUUGUCUCUGUUCUUCAGUAUCAACACAUUUAAAGCCAGUCUCAUCCAGAUGCUGCUUGCAGGGUCCACGUGUUCUCAGGUUGACGCAAGGAUGGAGAGGCUCAGAGUCUGCAGGAUUAAAAAAUACAAGCUAUAUUUAUGAAUGGGAGAAGCUGGGGGAAACCUGGAGUUUGCUCUGGUUUGCCUAAUGAAGAGGAGGAAGAUAGGAGUGUUACCUGGAAGAGAGCUUAAACUUUGCCCUGCCAGAACCCUCCCAGCCUUCCCAAGGGUUUCACCACUCUUCAGAGCCCUCUAUGUGACUUCUAACUCAAAGACAAUGAUAGAGCCAAAGAUAGGAUGCUGCCCUUUACACUCUUGGUGCUGUCAUAAUGGGCAGCCAAUGCAACACUUCAGUGUCUGCUCUUAAAGCUUCUCUUGCAUUUUUAGCAUCCUGUACUCAUUAGACACCAUGUAACUCUGAAAUGGAGGAGCACUGUAGAGGAGAAUCUGCCCUCUGCAUCCCAGAACUAUGCACCAGCUCCAUUUCUGUUGCUUUUCCAGCAAAAUUUACUAAAGAAUGGAGUUGAAAACGUACUCAGAUAGAAAACAGUGACUUUUAUUCAUAAAUAAAAGAGAGAGAAAGGGGAAAGGAGAGAGAGAGAAUGUCUGCUGUCCUUCAAAGAGCAAGAGAUAGCAGCAAAGGAUGUCAGGAAGAGAAAACCAGACAGAAAAAGCGUGUUUUUCUGAGUGAAACUGUAUGUUUCUCUGUGACUUUAUUAUUCAGAUACACGUAAGGCCAAUGGAUAGGCCUGAAUGUCACUGCUGAGUUUAAAAUACCAAUAUACCCUAUGAAGACUCUGCAGGCACAUCCCAUAAUAAGCUUGGGACUGCUGCUCCUGCCUUGCAAGAAGCUCCCUGUGGCACAACCAUACCUCCUGAACUCCUGGGUGGUGAAGAAAUCUGCCUUAAAGGUGGAAAAUGAUUUGUGAAUCCUAAUGGCAACGUGGAGGGUGACAUGAGAGUUUACUCUUUGCUCCCAGUGCUGGGUAGACUUUGCUGGAGCCAUGCGGGGACAACAACCCUCAUUCCUCACAUGUUCUGUUUUUUUUUUUUCCCUUUCACUCCUCCCAAAAAUCAGUGACAUCCUUUUUUUUUUUUUCCUUUCCCCCUAUCCAAAGCAAUACAAUACAGAGCUGAAAGGCACCUUGAGAAAGGUCUUCCAAUCUGGCUUGCAAAGGUUUUCUUGGAAUUAAGAAAUAAGCAUAAGAACAACCAAAUUAAAAAGAGGACAAUUUAGAAGAGUGUCCUAGAUGCUUUCUGCCCACCAAUGCUGAGGAACACUGCCAAAGCAAAUUCUGUCUAUCCAAAGAAAAAGGAGACAAACAAUUGUUCUCUUCAGUGCCAGGCUUUAGGUCUUGAGAAAGCUGGGGCUGUAUCAAUUGCAAGCACAAUUCCUGCGUUUCCAGGGGGAAUCUGUUGGUGUCAAAGCAAUAAGAAGAAAAUAAAGGUUUGAAGAAGAAAGCCUUGAAAUGGUGUUUGUGAAAGAUGCAUCUGAGCCUUUAGAUUCUGGCCACAAAACCUGAAGUAGAAAUUUACCAUCUGUUUGGGCUUUAGAUGUUAAAAAUCCACCUCUUCCUGAUGGUGGAGUAGGUUUAAUAUGGUGUUCUAAUGUGUAAGGAUGAUGGGGUUGGCACAUGCACAGAUGCAACUCAGUAAUUCACCCACUUGCACCAGGGGACAACCUCACAUGCUGGUGAGAACUGAUGUCUCAAAAUGGGAAGGAACCAUAAGACUGCUGAAUCAUUAAGGUUGGGAAAGACCUCUAAUAUCAUCUAGCAAUAAAUCAUUGUGGAUUUGUCAUGGAUUAUUUUUGGUGCAGGAGUAAAAGCAGGCAGCGGGCUUCAGUACACCGUAUUGCCUUGACUUGUUUGGGCAGUGGAAUGCAUCAUCACUUCUGAAGUCCUUAUGCACAUCAAACACAGUGAUCUCCUAAAGGAGCACUCUUCAGUUGAAGACUGUAGGGUCUGAGUGGGUGCCACAACAUGCAUAUGUGAUAUCACAGUUCUCUCCUCCUUUUAACCUCAGUUUCUGCAUUUCCUCGCUUUUAAGUAGAAGAAUAUGCAACCUGAUUGUUGUGUCAGUGCAAGGUGAAGGUUUCGUAUUGAGUUACAGAAAUAAAUACAUUGGAGGAGGUCAGAGUUGUGCAACAAAUACGAUAUGAGAUUAGAGAGUGUGAUUCAUGUUGUAAGAGGAAAGGCUAAUUCCUGUGCCAUCAAGAAGAAGGAUAACAAAAGUGGCAUGCGUUGUAUUUGUAUACAAAUUUGUACAACAAAUUAUUUAAGGUAGGAAAAGAAGGCGUAUUGACCCAAACAUGGGAAAGAAAGGAAACAUAGGCUGGCUGUCAACUGGAGCAUCGAUUUAUGGCCAAGUGCAUUACGAAAAGGCACUAUGUGCUUGUGGAAGUUCAUCCCUGGGGCUGCUCCCACCUGUACUCCAGAAUGCCUGCACAGCUUGGCUCACAUCACUUGGCAGUGAGAAGUUUCUGUUGUCACUCAGAGCCAUCAAAUGAAAGGUAACCAUGUCUGUUGUUUCUGGCAGCACCCAGACCCUUCCCUGCAAUGCUCUGGUCAAGAGAGCGUCACUGUUGAGGAAUGUAUUUAGUUGUACAGUUGGUUGCACCUGUGCUUAGCAUUUAUUGGUGUCAGUGAGACAAGAUGCUGUACCUGUAGUCUGUUUCUUGUCGUCUUGCCUGCAGAGGCCUCUGUUUGGGGUCCCAAACAG